AAUCCCCUGUACUCCUGUUCUUUGCUCCGUAAGAAAGAUCCACCUACAACCUCAGGUCCUCAGACCGACCAGCCCAAGGAACAUCUCACCAAUUUUAAAUCAGGUACCUUGCUGGGUGGAGUGCUAACAAGAGAAUGCUUUUUGGAGAAGAGGAGUUCUUCUGAAAGAUGAAUAGGAGUCUGUGAUUGAAGAAAGCAAGUACUGAUAUUUAAGCACAACCAAGAACUGAGAGACUAUUUUCAAAGGCAUGAAGGUGCAAGAGAAGAUUUUGGACUCAAUGAAUAUCUGGUAGCUUUAUAUUCACAGGAGCCUCAACCACCAGAAGAGAACUUGAAGAAAAUGAGACUAGAACGAUAGAUUUGGCAAAAUUAUAAAGAAAAAUUAAUAUAAUCCUAAGGAAUUUUUACUGCAUCUUAUAGCCAUGGUGAAUGUAAUGACUAGCAUUUAAUACACUGUAUAUUAUUGAAAUUUAUUCCGGCAUUAGAGUAGAAUAUAAGAGAUACAUUAAGUCAUUGUGGAAACAGAAAGACCAACUAAAAAACAAAUGAUAUCAUUCAGUCAAAACAAAAACAAAAACAAAAACAAAAAAUGUAAGGGCCUAAAUAUGGCCAGGGCUGAGAGAGUGUGAGUAAGGCAGUAGAUGGGGAAGAUAUACAGUUGCCAUAAUUUGGUAAUAAAUUUGGAGGAGGCAGAUGCCGAUGAAAAAAAGCCAAGGAUCUGUCAAGGUAUCUGAUUAACUUUAUAAUGGCAUUUUUCACAAAUUGGAAAUACUUGAAAAAAUGGACGCUGAAAAACAAAGUUGAGAAGUAUAGUUUGGUGAAUGAUGAGCUGGAAGGGAUUUAGGACAUCCAAACAGAAAUGUCCCAUGUACAAUUGGAUAUGUAUGGCAUUCUGACUGUACUCUAACUGAAGUAUAGAGGGAACAAGCUCCUCUGAUAUGUCCAGGAGCCACAGUGGGCAGAAGCUACAUGACUGAAUUGGACAAAGCUCAUCUUCUCACCAUCCAUGGGUUUCUAUUUCUGAUUUCCAUAAAAGAGGAGGCUUCUCUUUUGAAAAAGGAACUGGAAACUCAACCUCUUCAUUGUGUUCCAAAUUAUUAUACCAGGACUGUUAAGUUCAAGAGCAGGGCUUGGCAAUGAGAUACUUAUAAAACAUUUUAUCAUGUGUACUAGCGGGGUAGCUUGUAUACUAUAGAUAGGAAUGAACAGAAUGCACUGGUUCUAGACCUAAAAAAUCAUUGAUAUAAAUAACAAAUCUACCUAUGGGAUAUAAAUCUAUACAUGAAAUAAGUGAAUCUAUGAAUGGGAUGAAAUUGCAUAGAAACACACACACACAAAUGCAGGUUAAAAAUGGUGAAAAGUGAGUAAGAUCUGUAGCCUAGUUAAUCAUCAUAUACCAAUGUCAAUUUCUUGGUAUUGAUGUUGUACUGCAACGACAUAAUGUGUCACACUGGGGAAAAUUAGGUGAAGAUAUACGGAACUCCUAUACUAUUUUUGUAACUUUCUUUGAAUUUAUAUUUAUUUCAAAGUAAAACAUCAAAAGAAAAUAAUUUUGCUUUCUGUACCCCUUCUCUAUCCUUCACUGAUGACCAUUUUGAUUGUCUGGCUCAGAAGUGGAGGUUAUGACUUGGUCACUGGGUUUUACCCAGAGGAGAAGACAGAUUGGUGGAUAUCUUCACAGAAUGUCCAGGUUUCAUCAAGUCACAACUGCAAGACUCUAGCUGCAGCAAUGUUGGAGAUCAAGUCUCCGUGAUGACAGGGACAAGUGGCUGCUUCAGAGCCCUAUAGUAGUGAAACUUUAAAUGCAUUUCACCUAGCAAGUUAUAGUAGUUAAAGCAGGAUUAAGGUUAUAAUUGUGGUUUUCUUGGGACUUUCUCCUUUACUUUUCUUGCUUCUCUUUAGUCAUGCACGGUAUAGAUUAUAUGAAAAGAAAAUAUCUUGGGCCUCCAAAAUCACUAAACUAAAGGGAAAAUUCAACUGGGAAAGGCAUACGGCAAACCUGCCUCCCAUUCUGUUGCAAGUUAUCCCUCUGUUCACUGAGAUAAAUGCAUAUCUGAUUGCCUCAUUUGGGAAGGCUAAUCAGAAACUCAAAAUAAUGCAACAGUUUGCCUCUCACCUAUCUGUGACCAGGAGGCCCCCUCCCUGCUUCCAGCUUCCAGUCUUCCUGCUUUUCCUUCGAGAUCUCCCGCCUUUCCAGACCGAACCAAUGUACUUCUUACAUAUAUUGAUUGAUGUCUCAUGUCUGUUUAAACAAACAGUUUGGGUAUAAACUAAACUGUGCUCUGACCACCUUGGGUACAUAUUGUCAGGAUUUCCUGAGGCUGUAUCAUGGGCAUGCAUCCUCAACCUUGGCAAAAUAAACUUUCUAAAUUAAAGUUUAAAUUUUAUUAAACUUUAAUUUAGAAAUAAACUUUCAAAAUAACUUUCUAAAUUAACUAAGACCUGUCUCAGAUUUCCUGGGUCCACAAUCAGCAAGAUGUUUUAUCCCUUGUGUUUCAAUAUGAAAUCAUAAUGUUGUUGUAUAAGGUGCAGGCAUGUAAAUAUCCAGUUUAUGGAUAGACAAUAGUAGCCCAGGAACAACCAUUCCAGCAGGCUAGGGGUUGCAGAGUUCUCUGAGUUCUUGAUACAGCAGCAGAGAGCAAGGACAAGUGAGACAAAUUCUAAGACAUAAAUAAAUCUUUCUGGGCAAUCUUAGAGACACAAGAAAGCCGAUGGGAGGGAAUGUAGGUAAAUAUGGACUUCCUGUUAACUUGGCAGCUAUGGCUUCAGAGUUGUGAUUACUUCCAGUUUAAAUGGAGAAGAAACUCUGUUUAUAUCUCAAGCUAAAAAAAAAAUAGGUUAUACAUGUUACAGAUAUAUGUUUUGAGGCGGUAAUCACUUAUGCCAUUUCCAGUCAUAUCUGAAGAGAGUUACUAGAAAAGUAACCUACCUGAGAGUCAGGCUGCUUUUAUUUUCUUAUAUAAUCAUAGUACACCUGUUGUUUAAACCUGGAAAAGUUACUUAAUCUUUCUAUUCCUUAGCUUUCCCAUCUGUAAUGGAGAUUACAGUUGCUAAUGGUUGUACAGAGAAUCAAGUGAGUUAGCCUAUGACAACACUUGGAUCAUGUAAUUAGAAAGCAUUAUCUUUGUGAUCAAUGUUUUCUGGUAGUUUCCAGAAAGAUGCCUUGCAUAUAUUAAAAGGACAUUUGGAAUUGCAUUUAUGUAACUAGUCUAAAAUCAUAUCAUGUAAAUGCUUAUUUCAGUAUGUAGCACUCCUACUCUGCAAAAAUUCUGUAGUUAUUUUUGCUGACAUUAGAGCCUUUAAUGUUUCAAAAUUACAUGAAUAAUCACAGAUUUCAAAAGUGUCACUCACAAAUAGCAAUUUAAUGACAACACUGUACUGCUGCAAUUCCUUAAAUAUUUAUUGGAGAGUGAUUCAUCUACAUUUUGUGAAGGAAAUCUGAUUUUCCAAGAAGAUACUGACCCCGUAAGAAUCUAUGAAAUUUAGACCAACUCACAGUGUUUAUAAUUGAUUCACCUACUUGUAAGGUCUAUCGAUUAUAAAAUGAAUGAUAAUGUUUCACAUCUGCUUUCAUUUAUGACUUAAACUAAUCAGGAAACAAAUAAUAAUAACAUAUGAAAAGUGUAACAGUAAACAAAGUUAGAAUUACAGAAAAUAAAGAAGGCAGCAUGCAUUUACCUAAAAGAAACAUAAGAAACAUGUUCUAUAGAAGCAGUCCCCAACCUUUUUGUACCAGGGCCCUAUUUUGUGGAAGACAAUUUUUCCAGGGACAGUGAUGGGAUUGAAUGGGAUGAGACAUGGUUUUGGGAUGAAACUGUUCCACCUCAGAUCAUCAGGCAUUAGAUUCUCAUAAGGAGCCCACAAUCUAGAUCCCUCACUGUGCUGUUCACAACAGGGUUCUCGCUUUUAUGAGAAUGUAAUGCCCAGCUGAUCUGACAGGAGGCAAAGCACAGGCAGUAAUGCUUGCUCACCCGCAGCUCACCUUCUGUGUGGCCUGGUUCCUAACAGUCUGGGGACUAGUACCAGUCCACAGCCCAGGGGUUGGGGACACCUGUAAAGUACAAGUGAUCAACUGGAUCAACAUUUAUAAAAUGUAAUCACAAAACUCCUUUAGAACUUUUUUGAAAAAUAUUUGUAUUUAAUUCAAAAUUAAGCUGACACAUGACUGUAUUGCUUGCCAAUUUAUCAAUUUCUGUAUUGAUACUUUUCGUGAAAAAAGUUCUUACUCCUACUCAAACAAUCUCACAUUGGUUUUAAAUUAUACAAUUUAAAGUUAUAAGUGGGCUGGGGAGAAUGACCUCUCUCUGCUGAUGUAUAAUGUUUGGACUUACUUAAUUUUUGGUAAUUUCUGAAAAAAUUUCAGUGAUUUAUUAAGUAUUUUGUUUCUAACAAUUAUUGACAAUAAUACCACAUUGUUUUGAUGAUUGUUACUUUAUAAUAAAGUUUGAAAUCAGGUA
rnacentral:lncRNA from 10 species